rfam:Brassica napus, WGS project CCCW01000000 data, contig: 13837
AAAUCAUGGUGUGGGCAUUGGGCUUAGUAGCCCUUGAAUCUCUCUCAGGCUUCACUGAAUCCUUCCAAGUUCUUCUGUUGAAAGCGGGAAAUCUCAUUUCUCAGCUU